AGCAAAAAAAAAAAAAAAGGGGGGACUUUGCCUGAAUCUCGGGCGGCUGCAUGAGAAAGAGAGUUGGGAGGACGCACGGGCAAAAGGGCAAGAGGAAGGCACCAAGGAGGUGAGUGACGGAUUUACCCUCGGAGGGGUAAAAAGAUGACUGUGGUGUCCCAGGAGAACCACGACGAGACUGUGGUCGUUACACCUUUGUUGCAAGAUGCUGCGGACUUGGAACCAGCAGACCAGGAGUGCAGCGAGAGGGUGUUCAUCAACAUCUCAGGUCUGCGUUUUGAAACGCAGUUAAAGACCCUCUCCCGUUUCCCGACCACGCUUUUGGGAGACCCGCGUAAAAGGAUGCGUUUCUUUGACCCGCUGAGAAACGAAUACUUCUUUGACAGGAACAGGCCGAGCUUUGAUGCCAUUCUCUAUUAUUACCAAUCAGGAGGGCGGCUUCGGAGGCCUGUGAGUGUACCUGUGGAUAUUUUCCUGGAAGAAAUAAAGUUUUAUGAACUUGAGGAAGAGGCCAUAGAGCUUUUCCGAGAGGAUGAGGGCUUGGCGAGGGAAGAGGACCGCCCGCUGCCUACCAACGAGUUUCAACGUCAGUUUUGGCUCCUGUUUGAGUAUCCAGAGAGUUCAGGACCUGCACGGAUAAUUGCCAUUGUGUCUGUUAUGGUUAUUUUGAUAUCCAUAGUUAUAUUCUGCUUGGAGACACUACCCGAGUUUAGAGAAGUCUCUGCAGUGCUGGAUAUCCACGCUAAUGGAAGUGCUCAAGGCAAAGCGCCCAGCCCAUUCACAGAUCCGUUUUUCAUGGUGGAGACACUUUGCAUUGUGUGGUUCUCUUUUGAAUUCACCAUGAGGUUUCUCUCGUGUCCCAGCAAAGCAGCUUUCUUUAAAAACAUCAUGAACCUGAUCGAUGUUGUGGCUAUAGCUCCAUAUUUCAUCACCCUGGGCCUUGAUCUUGCAGAGCAUCAGGGCAGCAGUCAGCAGGCUGCGUCUCUGGCCAUACUGAGGGUCAUCCGUCUGGUCCGUGUUUUUAGGAUUUUCAAACUCUCCAGGCACUCCAAGGGUCUCCAGAUUCUCGGCCAAACGCUUCACGCAAGCCUCAGGGAGCUGGGACUGCUCAUAUUCUUCCUGCUCAUCGGAGUGGUUUUGUUCUCCAGUUCGGUUUAUUUCGCAGAAGCGGAAGAUCCCGAGACUGGAUUUUCAAGUAUACCUGAUGCGUUUUGGUGGGCUGUGGUGACAAUGACUACAGUUGGUUAUGGAGACAUGUAUCCCUCCACCAUUUGGGGGAAAUUCGUUGGAUCUUUGUGCGCCAUCGCCGGAGUACUCACCAUAGCUUUACCGGUCCCUGUUAUCGUGUCCAAUUUCAAUUACUUCUACCACAGAGAGAACGAGGAGGAGGAAAAUAUUCAGUACGUGCACGUGACUUGCGGGCAGCACCCGCAGCAACCCUCUUUUGAUGAAUGUGAUUCAACCAAAAGUAACCAGUCGCUCUCCAAAACGGAGUCCUAUCAGGAAAGCGACGACCCUGAAACUCUGACAUAUCCAAACAUAAACCCACUGGAGGUAUACACGGGGAAACUGACAGAUGUGUAAAGAAGAUGGGUUUUUUUUCUGGUGAGUUGUCUCCCAGUGGACAUGCAGUUUAGGCUUCUCCAUGCUGCAGGUGUUUUACGCACGCUUUCUACAGUGGUUUCCAAAACGUGGAGCCACAGAUGUUCAUUUUACAACUCGCCUAAAAAUGAAGAUUGGCAUACUUUCACUCUAACUUUCACCAGAUGAGAAAAUCAUUCCCCCCGCCACUACAACUUGUCAUAUUUUCUCAUACUGGGGCAACUGGUAGAAAUACAAACAAUGAGUGGGAAGCUAUGGAUUAAAACGUUAUAAUAGGGAAACCUCAAAAGAAGCAUUUGGGAACCCCUGGGCCACGCAAUAAAAAGCACCGAAUAUCUGAAAUACAGCAGCAUAUACAAAACAACAGUAACUGUGAUGUGACAUGAGGCAGGUGGUUUUUCUUCGUUUACCCACAAAAAUGGCAGCACAAACUACAAGUUAUCCUUCUAUUGUUGAGAAAAUAGAGUCGCCUGUUUUUCCUAAUCUUGGAUAAAGUAGGAGAGGGGAGCUCAGCCGUGCGUCAAAGCGCUAAUCACGCACAAGGAAACCAACUCUCCACACUGGAGCACAGGAGGCAGACGAUUAAGUGAAGCUCGUUGUUCCCUCACAGUGGCAACAAAAUACAAGUGUGGCAUUCUCUUCUUCUCCAAAGUACUGGAUCAUUUUCUCACGGAUUGUUCUUGCAUUGCCAGUGAUGUAGCCUACAGAGACCUCACGAUGGAAACGCUUGGAAAAGGUUCAGUCUGCCGCAAUGUACACUGUGUGAAUCAGCAGUAGGAAAAAAAAAACAACAUUCUUUUAUGUAGGCUUUAUAAAUGACCACGCUUUCUUUGUAUAAAAAAAGCUUUGUGUACAUAAUGCGUUUUUGUAAAUCUCAAUUUCCACUUUUCUUAUGCAGCAUAAUGCAAAGUUGGAAUCGCAACUUACCUCUGUGUUGUUACAAACAUUCAGAUUGCAUUGCAGUUCGCUGUAAACAACAUAGCCAAAGGCAUUAUAGUGCAAUGUCUGCAUGACACGAAUUCAUUGUGAAUUUUAAAUGUGAUCAAAUAUUUAUUUUUCUAAUUUAAACAUGUACCUAUG